rnacentral:misc_RNA from 1 species
GAUGAAGAACGCAGCGAAAUGCGAUAAGUAAUGUGAAUUGCAGAAUUCAGUGAAUCAUCGAAUCUUUGAACGCACAUUGCGCCCGCUAGUAUUCUGGCGGGCAUGCCUGUCCGAGCGUCAUUUCAACCCUCAAGCCCCCGGGCUUGGUGUUGGGGAUCGGCGAGCCUCCGCGCCCGCCGUCCCCUAAAUCUAGUGGCGGUCUCGCUGUAGCUUCCUCUGCGUAGUAGCACACCUCGCACUGGGAAACAGCGCGGCCACGCCGUUACACCCCCAACUUCUGAACGUUUGACCUCGGAUCAGGUAGGAAUACCCGCUGAACUUAAGCAUAUCAAUAAGCGGAGGA